GACGAACGCUGGCGGCGUGCUUAACACAUGCAAGUCGAACGGAAAGGCCCUGCUUUUGUGGGGUGCUCGAGUGGCGAACGGGUGAGUAACACGUGAGUAACCUGCCCUUGACUUUGGGAUAACUUCAGGAAACUGGGGCUAAUACCGGAUAGGAGCUCCUGCUGCAUGGUGGGGGUUGGAAGUUUCGGCGGUUGGGGAUGGACUCGCGGCUUAUCAGCUUGUUGGUGGGGUAGUGGCUUACCAAGGCUUUGACGGGUAGCCGGCCUGAGAGGGUGACCGGCCACAUUGGGAAUGAGAUACGGCCCAGACUCCUACGGGAGGCAGCAGUGGGGAAUAUUGCACAAUGGGCGGAAGCCUGAUGCAGCAACGCCGCGUGCGGGAUGACGGCCUUCGGGUUGUAAACCGCUUUCGCCUGUGACGAAGCGUGAGUGACGGUAAUGGGUAAAGAAGCACCGGCUAACUACGUG
rnacentral:rRNA from 1 species